rnacentral:rRNA from 1 species
AUUGAACGCUGGCGGCAGGCUUAACACAUGCAAGUCGAGCGGGGGAAGGUAGCUUGCUACCGGACCUAGCGGCGGACGGGUGAGUAAUGCUUAGGAAUCUGCCUAUUAGUGGGGGACAACAUCUCGAAAGGGAUGCUAAUACCGCAUACGUCCUACGGGAGAAAGCAGGGGAUCUUCGGACCUUGCGCUAAUAGAUGAGCCUAAGUCGGAUUAGCUAGUUGGGGGGGUAAAGGCCUACCAAGGCGACGAUCUGUAGCGGGUCUGAGAGGAUGAUCCGCCACACUGGGACUGAGACACGGCCCAGACUCCUACGGGAGGCAGCAGUGGGGAAUAUUGGACAAUGGGGGGAACCCUGAUCCAGCCAUGCCGCGUGUGUGAAGAAGGCCUUUUGGUUGUAAGGCACUUUAAGCGAGGAGGAGGCUACUGGUAUUAAUACUACCGGAUAGUGGACGUUACUCGCAGAAUAAGCACCGGCUAACUCUGUGCCAGCCGCCGCCGUAAGAC